UGCAUUGGGAAUACGAGAGUGGACAUAAUGGAUUUUGUCAUGAAGCUUAAAGAUUCCAAAUAAAAAUGUACUUCAGUUUUCUUGCUACUGCCAUGAAACAUUGUUGAAAAGCUUGUUAGUUUUAUAAUAGAAGUUUCCUGCACUUGUUUUUAAUAACAUUUAUAAUUGAUGGAAUAUAUCUUCUAUCAGUCCAAUGAGUAAACAUGGUCCACAUAGAUAAUUUUCUUUUCUGCCGACUCUAAAGUUGCCGACUUAAAAGUUACUCCCAAAAUGGUUACCUACUGGGGAUUACAUGUACAUGUUUGUAAUGAGGUGUGGAGGAUAGAGCGCUUGAGAUUAUGUUUAUUACAAAUUUUCCAUGAAUCCACUCAAGAGAAAAUGUCUCUCUCAAGUGUUUUUCAAAUAUAGUAAGAUGCAGAUGAUUUUCACUUUCAAAUGCAGCUCAAGAGGGAACUGCUGCUUUUGACUGUGAGUGUUGGAACUGCUUGCGGUGGAUAUUGUCUGAUAGCUUUGUCAGUCCAGGCUGCUGUGAGCUAUAUGACAGGAGUGUUGUUCAGCUGCCUAUACUUCCACCUCUUAUGCAAACAUGCAGACAAUGUAUCAAAAGAAAAUGUUCCACAGAUUUUCACGAAAAAGAAGUCAAAAAAAAUAGGAAUAAGAAGCCAAGAUCUGCAGGAUCUAUUUGAGAGAACCGUAAAGGGUAGUGGUAUCGCUCUUUCAUCUCCGAGGCUUGUCAUUCUUGCCGCAAUAUAUGGACUAUGGGAACUGUCUCAACAUUUUGGCCAUGAUAUUUUUGAUUUUCAGCUAGUGCCUGCUAUGGUCGGAUUGUUUGCAUAUAAGGCUGCUGCACUUGUGCAAGUCUACCGAGACAAUGAAGACCUUCAAUUUAUUUUCCCUGAUAAUGCAGAAGGGUCAAGUGACUGAACUAAGGAUUUGUAAAAAGAGGCGCAUUCGUCUUUGUCCAUUAAAAGAGUUGGAUUCUUCCUUAAGGUCGUCAACUAGUCAGGUUUCUCAAUGUUCUGUUUUUUCUAUCCCCGCAAUACCCUUUCUUUUUUUUUUUUUUUGCCCUUUUUCAUGAAGGUCGAUCCUAGAUUCUUUCGAAUCUAAAAAAGUCUCGGGCGAAUUGAAAAUUACAAAGCCUAAAUUUGUCUGGAUCGACUUUGACACUAAUAGCAGCCGUGCCAUUAGAGCCUGGACAUUGUAAUCUCACUGGCAGGAUCAGAAACAAAGCACUAGCCUAGGAAUAAGUUGACCGUAUCCUCUUUUCUUGUAAUUUUCUGUGUUGAGAUUCUACAUUAUAGCAAUUGUUUCCAAGCUCUGGGUUUAUCCUACAAGACCCGGAAAACACCAUCAUUUUCUGCUUUCUCCAAUUCUUUUUCAGCUUUCAAGUUGAAAGUAGGAUAAGUUGGUGGGAGCUACGAUAUUUAAUGUAUUCAAGUUACUCUCAUGAAAAGCCCAUUUUCACUGUUCUUUUUCUU